GAUGAACGCUGGCGGCGUGCCUAAUACAUGCAAGUCGAGCGAACGGACGAGAAGCUUGCUUCUCUGAUGUUAGCGGCGGACGGGUGAGUAACACGUGGAUAACCUACCUAUAAGACUGGGAUAACUUCGGGAAACCGGAGCUAAUACCGGAUGAUAUUUUGAACCGCAUGGUUCAAAAGUGAAAGACGGUCUUGCUGUCACUUAUAGAUGGAUCCGCGCUGCAUUAGCUAGUUGGUAAGGUAACGGCUUACCAAGGCAACGAUGCAUAGCCGACCUGAGAGGGUGAUCGGCCCACCUGGAGCUGAGACACGGUCCCGACCCCUACGGGAGGCAGCAGUAGGGAAUCUUCCGCAAAGGGCGAAAGCCUGACGGAGCAACGCCGCGUGAGUGAUGAAGGUCUUCGGAUCGUAAAACUCUGUUAUUAGGGAAGAACAUAUGUGUAAGUAACUGUGCACAUCUUGACGGUACCUAAUCAGAAAGCCACGGCUAACUACGUG
rnacentral:rRNA from 1 species